rnacentral:rRNA from 1 species
AUUGAACGCUGGCGGCAUGCUUUACACAUGCAAGUCGAACGGUAACAGGGAGCUUGCUCCGCUGACGAGUGGCGAACGGGUGAGUAAUGCGUCGGAACGUGCCGAGUAGUGGGGGAUAACGCAUCGAAAGGUGUGCUAAUACCGCAUACGAACUGAGGUUGAAAGUGGGGGACCUUCGGGCCUCACGCUAUUCGAGCGGCCGACGUCUGAUUAGCUAGUUGGUGGGGUAAAGGCUCACCAAGGCGACGAUCAGUAGCGGGUCUGAGAGGAUGAUCCGCCAAACUGGGACUGAGACACGGCCCAGACUCCUACGGGAGGCAGCAGUGGGGAAUAUUGGACAAUGGGCGGAAGCCUGAUCCAGCCAUGCCGCGUGUGUGAAGAAGGCCUUUUGGUUGUAAAGCACUUUAAGCGAGGAGGAGGCUACCUGGAUUAAUACUCUAGGAUAGUGGACGUUACUCGCAGAAUAAGCACCGGCUAACUCUGUGCCAGCCGCCGCCGUAACAC